UGACGAUGAACCGCCGCCGCGUUGUUAUGGUUCAGCCAUAAGACGAGGAAAGUCCGGACUCCGCAGGGCAUGGUGCCGGCUAACAGCCGGGGAUGCCUGUACCAGAUUCUGGCACAGGCAUUACAGACAGCGCAACAGAAAAUAUACCGCCGCGCAGCCGCCCUGCGGCCGCACGGUAAGGGUGAAAUGGCGGGGUAAGAGCCCGCCGCGGAAUUGGCGACAAUUCCGGCACGGCAAGCCUCAUCAGGAGCAAAGCCAAACAGCGGUUGGGCUGCCCGUCCUAUAACCGCGGGUAGGCUGCACGGAAACCGCCGGUAACGGCGGUUCAAGACAGAUGG
rnacentral:RNase_P_RNA from 1 species